AUACGAAGGGGGCUAGCGUUGUUCGGAAUUACUGGGCGUAAAGCGCGCGUAGGCGGACUGAUCAGUUGGGGGUGAAAUCCCAGGGCUUAACCCUGGAACUGCCUCCAAUACUGUCAGUCUUGAGUUCGGGAGAGGUGAGUGGAAUUCCUAGUGUAGAGGUGAAAUUCGUAGAUAUUAGGAAGAACACCAGUGGCGAAGGCGGCUCACUGGCCCGAUACUGACGCUGAGACGCGAAAGCGUGGGGAGCAAACAGGAUUAGAAACCCCAGUAGUCC
rnacentral:rRNA from 1 species